rnacentral:sRNA from 2 species
GACCUGCUUGAAUGAACGAUAUCCACUGAUGAUAUCUACUGAUGAUACAUAUCGAUGAUAUUAAUAUGACAUCGCACUCUUGCUCCACCCUGCCCAGCUGCAUGUUUCAUGAAGCUCCUGCUAUAUAGAGUGUUGUACCUGAGCUGUCCAACCCUCUGAAGCAAUUCACGAUGCCUUUCAUCCCCUGGGGUUUAGAGGGUCGUUUGCCCACCCCCUGAAGGGGGAUGCUAGGGGCAGGCUGCCCCUAGUAAUAGGAAUAAUAUUAGUAGAUAGUAGUGUAGUCAGUAGUAGCUAAUCACUAAGAGGAGAAAGAGAAGGGGAGAGGAAAGAGGAUGUGCGAAGUACAUGCAUAUAUAUAUAUAUAUAUAUUAUAUAUAUACAUAUACAUAGAAAUGGUGAUAGCGAGGACAUAGCAAGAAAAGGAAAGAAUAAAUGAAGAUAAAUAAAGAUAUAUAAGGAAAU